CGCUCUCUCUCUCUCUCUCGUCUACUAAAAAUUCCCAAAUCUGAAGCAAAAACCAUUUCUGUCCAUCUCUCCCUAAACCCUAAACCCCAUACACACCAUGUCCCUCGUCUCUCGCCUCCGCCACUCCCUCACCCACCACCUCCACCGCCGCCAGCUCUCCACGGCAUCCUCAAUCCUCUCCCCAAACUCCACCACUCCUCUCACCUCCAAACAGAAGACACGAGCCGCGCUCGCCCUUCUCAAGUCCGAGCAGAACCCCCACACCAUCCUCGACAUUUGCCGUGCCGCGGCCCUCACCCCCGAUAUCCACCUCGACCGCAUCGCUUUCUCCGUUGCCGUCUCCCAGCUCUCCUACUCCAAACACUUCGACUCGAUCCGGAAGUUACUAGAGUCGGAGCUCCAGACCCGACCUGACCUCCAAACGGAGCGUUUCGUUGCCCACUCCAUCGUCCUGUACGGUCAGGCUGGUAUGGUCAACCAGGCCUUUGAGGCUUUUAAGCAAAUGGGUGAUCUGGGUAUUAGUCGCUCGGUGAAAUCGUUCAAUGCGUUGCUUUUUGCUUGCCUGCUGGCGAAGGAUUACAAGGAGCUGCACCGGGUUUUCGUUGAGUUUCCCAAAGUCUAUGGGCUUGAGCCGGAUUUGGACUCGUAUAACACGGUAAUCAAGGGGUUUUCGGAAUCUGGGUCGACGAGUUCUGGGUAUUCUGUGGUGGCCGAGAUGGAGAGGAAGUCCGUGAAGCCGAAUGCGACGAGUUUUGGGCAUUUGCUUGCUGGGUUUUAUAGGGAAGAAAGGUUUGAGGACGUUGGGAAAGUAAUGACGUUGAUGAAGAAGCAUGAUGUGGACAUGGGGAUUGGUACGUACAACAUUAGGAUUCAGGGUCUGUGUAAGCUGAAGAAGUCGUCGGAGGCCAUGGCAUUGCUUGAUGGAAUGUUGUCGAGAGGGAUGAAGCCGAAUUCGGUCACGUAUACACAUUUGAUUCAUGGGUUUUGUAAAGAAGGCAAUUUGGAGCAAGCCAAGAAGCUCUUCAAGACCAUGAAAAGUAGGGGUUGCCAACCGGAAUAUGAUUGCUAUUCUACUUUGGUUUACUUCCUAUGCAAAGGUGGGGAUGUCGAGGCCGCCUUGUCAAUCGCUAAGGAGAGUAUGGAGAAAGGUUGGUUUCCCAAUUUCGGGACUAUGAAGAGGCUUGUGGAGGGGCUUGUGGAAAUUAAAAAGGUUGAAGAGGCACGCGAGCUUAUUAAGCAGAUCAAGGAGAAAGUUACUAAGAAUGUUCACAUGUGGGAUGAAAUUGAAGCUGGGUUGCCUCAAUGAAGAUUGUUGCUUGGCGUGCGGAGUUAGAUGGAACUGUGGGGAUCAAAUUGAUGAUCACGGAAUUUUUGUAUGGAAACCUGCUCGCUCCCUUGUCUCGAGUUCAUUUCCCUUGUUGAAUUAUUGACCUACAUUGUUAUUAUUGAAUGAAGAUGGUGUUUGUUGAAGAAACUUUGUUUCAUCUUAUUCUGUUACGGGAAACACAGUUAUGAUUUAUGUGCUGUUCACUUGGCUCCUUUGUAGAAGAUUAGAUGGUUUAUUCUGAUUAAAAUAAUUUGGUUUUGGUGGUUAUCCAAGUGGAACCAUGGUUGAUGCAAGCAGUGAUAGGAUCAGGGGUUCACAUGCCGCCAUUCAACUCCAUUGUCUAGAAAGCUACUUUGACCACCACAUGGAGUAACGUUGUUGCUGCUUGCAUUUCAUCCGAACCAUAUAUUUUAAGAGCGAGAGCUUUGACAUCAGACAAUUCUUCGUAGUCUUCCAGUAAAAGACACAUUUGUGCAGACUUUCACAUUUUUACUGCUCAUUGUAUUAUAUGUUGACAGCGAUGUAAACUUUAGAUGAGACUGGAAGUGAAAAGUAAGAAAUGGGGAUAAAUAUUUCAUGUAUCAUCUGAUUCUGAGAUGAAAUAUCAUCUCAAAUCUGGGAAUAUAUUAAUUGCA